UACGGGGGGUGCGAGCGUUGUCCGGAAUCAUUGGGCGUAAAGAGCGUGUAGGCGGUCCGGUAAGUCGGUUGUGAAAGCCCAGGGCUCAACCCUGGGAUGCCGACCGAUACUGUCGGACUAGAGUUCGGAAGAGGCGAGUGGAAUUCCCGGUGUAGCGGUGAAAUGCGUAGAUAUCAGGAGGAACACCGGUGGCGAAGGCGCACAUCUGGCCCGAUACUGACGCUGAGGCGCGAAAGCUAGGGGAGCAAACGGG
rnacentral:rRNA from 1 species